CCCUUAGACGUUCUGGGCCGCACGCGCGCUACACUGACCAGUGCAACAAGCAUCCGUCCUUGGCCGACAGGCCCGGGCAAUCUUUGAACGCUGGUCGUGAUGGGGAUAGACUUUUGCAAUUUUUGGUCUUCAACGAGGAAUUCCUAGUAAACGCAAGUCAUCAACUUGCAUUGAUUACGUCCCUGCCCUUUGUACACACCGCCCGUCGCACCUACCGAUUGAAUGGUCCGGUGAAGCCUCCGGAUUGGCGCGCACCUCGGUGCCGCCGAGAAGUUGGCUAAACCUUACCAUUUAGAGGAAGGAGAAGUCGUAACA
rnacentral:rRNA from 1 species